AUGGCAAAAAUCCACGUUGAUGGGGGUCUGGAGCGAGUUGGGAAUGGAGGAUCAUCAGCAGCAUUGUGCCGGGACCAGGAUGGCACCUACCUGGGCUCUUCGGCGAUGGUUUUCAGCGAUAUUCAUGACCCGGCGACACUAGAAGUUCUUGCAUGCAGAGAAGCUAUGGCACUUGCGCAAGAUCUCUCUUUAAGAAGAAUAGUUAUCGCUUGUGAUUGCAAAACAAUGGUGGAAGAGAUUCAUAAGGGAUCGGCUGGCUCUUACAGUGUGAUCAUUAAGGAGAUUGAAGCUUCAGCAAGGGAUCUUGAUAGUUGCGUUUUUAUUUUUGAAAGUCGUGUUUUGAAUUUUGAGGCUCAUAGUUUGGCCAAGUUUUCUUCGUCUCUAGCAGUGGGUCGCCAUGUAUGGCUGGGCUUACCCCAUGACCCGUUUGCAAUUCCUGUAAACCGAACCACAUCUUAA
rnacentral:rRNA from 1 species